ACCGAAGGAUGGAGGAGUGAGAUUAUCCUUGGAGCAACAGAGUUUACUAUUUCAGGAGGCCCUGACCUUCGAGGAUGUGGCUGUGUAUUUCACGAGGAAGGAAUGGAAACAUCUGAACUCUUGCCAGAAGGACCUCUACAGGAACGUGAUGCUGGAGAAUAAUGGGAAUAUGACAUUAUUGAAAUUCCCAGUCCCUAAACCUGAGCUGAUCUCCCAGCUGGAGCGAGGGGAAGAACCAUGGGUCCUGGAUCUACAAGGAACUGAGGACCAAGAUACCCCAAAAGGCUUUAACUCAGAUUCUGAAAUAAAGACUGAGAAUAAACAGUCUAAUGAAAAAGAGGAAAUUUUAGAAGAUGAACAAUCCCAUGAAACAAUCUUAGGAAUUUUCCUAGGGAAUGUUCUUCAGGAACCUGAUUUUGGAGAAGAUUGGGAAUCUGAGAGACAGCUACAGAGACAGAGAAACUGUAUAGAGAUUUCAAAGAAAUCCUUUUCCCGGAAGAGAGAUUGGAAGGUGAGAAUGACUCACAAAAGCCCUCCUAUAGGAGAACAGCCCCAAGAAUGUA